AGCGUAGGCGGCUUUAUAAGUCAGAUGUGAAAGUCCAUGGCUCAACUGUGGAAGUGCAUUUGAAACUGUGAAGCUUGAGUAUCGGAGGGGAGUGUGGAAUUCCCGGUGUAGAGGUGAAAUUCGUAGAGAUCGGGAGGAACACCGGUGGCGAAGGCGACACUCUGGACGAAUACUGACGCUGAGGCGCGAAAGCGUGGGGAGCAAACA
rnacentral:rRNA from 1 species